AUUGAACGCUGGCGGCAGGCCUAAUACAUGCAAGUCGAGCGGAUGAAGGGAGCUUGCUCCUGGAUUCAGCGGCGGACGGGUGAGUAAUGCCUAGGAAUCUGCCUUGUAGUGGGGGAUAACGUCCGUAAACGGGCGCUAAUACCGCAUACGUCCUGAUGGAGAAAGGGGGGGAUCUUCGGACCUCACGCGAUCUGAUGAGCCUAGUUCGGAUUAGCUAGUUGGUGGGGUAACGGCCUACCAAGGCGACGAUCCGUAACUGAUCUGAGAGGAUGAUCAGUCACACUGGAACUGAGACACGGUCCAGACUCCUACGGGAGGCAGCAGUGGGGAAUAUUGGACAAUGGGCGAAAGCCUGAUCCAGCCAUGCCGCGUGUGUGAAGAAGGUCUUCGGAUUGUAAAGCACUUUAAGUUGGGAGGAAGGGCAGUAAGUUAAUACCUUGCUGUUUUGACGUUACCAACAGAAUAAGCACCGGCUAACUUCGUG
rnacentral:rRNA from 1 species